GAGAGCCGGAUCCGCCGAAAUGCGGACGUCUGGUUCGGGGAAGGGCCUGGGUGUCAAACUAUCCUCACGGAUGGGGCGACCCAGGCCUAUUCGGU
rnacentral:ncRNA from 1 species